AACGAACGCUGGCGGCAUGCCUAACACAUGCAAGUCGAACGAGACCUUCGGGUCUAGUGGCGCACGGGUGCGUAACGCGUGGGAACCUUCCCUUAUGUUCGGAAUAACUCCCCGAAAGGGGUGCUAAUACCGGAUAAUGUCUUCGGACCAAAGAUUUAUCGCCUUUGGAUGGGCCCGCGUUGGAUUAGCUAGUUGGUAGGGUAAAAGCCUACCAAGGCGACGAUCCAUAGCUGGUCUGAGAGGAUGAUCAGCCACACUGGGACGAAGACACGGCCCAGACUCCUACGGGAGGCAGCAGUGGGGAAUAUUGGAACAUGGGCGAAAGCAUGAUCCAGCAAUGCCGGGUGAGUGAUGAAGGCCUUAGGGUUGUAAAGCUCUUUUACCCGGGAUGAUAAUGACAGUACCGGGAGAAUAAGCCCCGGCUAACUCCGUG
rnacentral:rRNA from 1 species